rnacentral:lncRNA from 1 species
CUUCCCCCUCGGGUGCAGGCAGGGCUCUGCCCGUCUCCCCGGGCAAGAGCGGGCACGGGCAAAGGCGCAAAGUUGCGCGGCGCCGGCGGGGAUGGAGCCGGGGCUGCUCCCGCUCCGCUGUCCCUGCGCGGCGCCCCCCGCCCGCCCCUCGCACUCACCGGCGGAGCGGCGCCUGCGGCCGGGGUCCUCCUCUGCUGUCAGCGCUCAGCCUCGGGCUCUGGCAGUUGGAGCAGGAAGGAAGUUGGUGAGGAGAGGAAAAAAAAAAAAAUAACACUCACACGCAGCGAAAAAAAAAAAAAAAAAAAAAAAAAAAAGGAAAAGAGAGCAAAGCGCGGCGGCAGCAGCAGCCCACCGGCAGAGGAAGCCCUGCACGGCCCCGCAUGCUGCGGCGCUCCGCCGCCUGCCCCGCUUUGUCUGCCGCGCUCCCGCUGCGCAGAGGUGCACCGGGCUUUGUCUGCCGAGCCCAGCCCGGCCGCGGAGCGCUCGCCGGGCUGCGGGCUCUCGUGUGAGAAGGAGCUGCAGACGUUGGAAUCGCACCGUGCCAAGCAGAUGGGAACUCAGAAGCCAGGCAUGAUCCUUUGGGUCAGAAUAUCCAGCAUCCUGCUGGGGAACCACGUCACUGCUCUGCUGGAAGAAAGGAAAGGUUUGAACCACAAUGGAGCAGAACAUCACUGAAAGCAAAUCUCUACCACCGACUAUUUCAUCUUUGACAAACUGAUGCCAUGCCAUGAAGAUCAUCUCUUGGCAGGCGUUGUCCAACCCCAGACAGCUCUUUUGUCUGUGACAGAAGGAGGCAGGGACAAGAGCUAAAGUGUACCUACUUUACUGCAAAACAUAUGGUAAAAUUUCAAAUAUGUUCUUAGUCAGAAAAUAAUAUUUUUUGCUUAAAAUACUAUGAUUAAGUCUUAUUUAAUUUUACCCCACUGAUAACAGUUGAUUGUACAAUUAGUAGACCACAUUAAUAGCUGUGAUCAGCUGCUAGUGUCUAAGUUUAUUUCAAAAAGUUUAUGCAAAAUUUUAAAUGCUUAUCCUUCAACUACAGAGCCUAUACUCCCAACAGUCAUAUAUGUCUGUAGCACCCUAUUGGAAAUAACAAACCUUGACUUUUUUUAAAACUGUAAGAUUAAAAAAAUUAGGCAUUUUUUCCUAUUUGAAUUUGGAUUGCUGCCAGUCCAGUACUUCUGAAUUUUUUUGCAGUGGUGGUACAUUGCAGCUUUGUGCUGCUAAAUGUCAUCUCCAUUUUCUGUGGAACAGGUCACUGCAUUUGAGGAACCAAACUACUUUAUGACCUUUAGAAGUGACUAAUCCAGAAAAAUUUCACCUGUUAGAAUUUCUUAUUUUCACCUACUUGUAAUCUCCAAAACUGUCUAAUUUGGAGCUGAAAUUUUCCAGGCUGGAAGCUCUGAGGGGAAAAAUAAAAAGAGAUUUCAGUCCA